rnacentral:miRNA from 1 species
CUUGCUGAGUGACCUCCCUGCU